rnacentral:rRNA from 1 species
UACGAAGGGUGCAGGCGUUACUCGGAAUUACUGGGCGUAAAGAGCGCGCAGGCGGUCGUUCAAGUCGCGUGUGAAAGCCCCCGGCUCAACUGGGGAGGGUCACGCGAUACUGAUCGACUCGAAGGCAGGAGAGGGAAGUGGAAUUCCCGGUGUAGUGGUGAAAUGCGUAGAUAUCGGGAGGAACACCAGUAGCGAAGGCGACACUCUGGGCCGGUACUGACGCUGAGGAGCGAAAGCGUGGGGAGCAAACAGG